CUAGCCCAACCAACCACCAACUUAACUAUCACAACAACCACAAUUAAAACAUUUAAUUAUACCAUUACAGUAUAGGAGAUAGAAAUUCUAUUUGGAGCUAUAGAGAAAGUACCGCUAGGGGACGGUGGAAGAAAAAUUUAAAGUAAUAAACAGCAAAGAUCACCCCUUAUACCUUUUGCAUAAUGAACUAGCUAGAACAGUUUAGCAAAGAGACCUUAAGCUAACCCUCCCGAAACCAGACGAGCUACCUAUGAACAACCCACGGGGGUAAACUCGUCUAUGUCGCAAAAUAGUGAGAAGAUUUAUAGGUAGAGGUGCAAAGCCUAACGAGCCUGGUGAUAGCUGGUUGCCCAGAACAGAAUCUCAGUUCGACUUUAAACCAACCUACCAACCCCAAAAUUGUAACGUAAGUUUAAAAUAUAAUCUAAAAAGGUACAGCUUUUUAGAACGAGGAUACAACCUUACUUAGAGAGUAAAACUAUUACGA
rnacentral:rRNA from 1 species